rnacentral:rRNA from 1 species
CCUACGGGUGACAGCAGUCGAGAAUCAUUCACAAUGGGGGAAACCCUGAUGGUGCGACGCCGCGUGGGGGAAUGAAGGUCUUCGGAUUGUAAACCCCUGUCAUGUGGGAGCAAAUUAAAAAGAUAGUACCACAAGAGGAAGAGACGGCUAACUCUGUGCCAGCAGCCGCGGUAAUACAGAGGUCUCAAGCGUUGUUCGGAAUCACUGGGCGUAAAGGGUGCGUAGGCUGUUUCGUAAGUCGUGUGUGAAAGGCGCGGGCUCAACCCGCGGACGGCACAUGAUACUGGGAGACUAGAGUAAUGGAGGGGGAACCGGAAUUCUCGGUGUAGCAGUGAAAUCCGUAGAUAGCGAGAGGAACACUCGUGGCGAAGGCGGGUUCCUGGACAUUAACUGACGCUGAGGCACGAAGGCCAGGGGAGCGAAAGGGAUUAGAUACCCUUGUAGUC